GGAAGGUUGACGGAAAGGCAACGUAUAGGUUUGCUAAACCUAAGUCAACCGAAAGGUUGUAAGUGUUCGAUUCACUUACCUUCCGCCA
rnacentral:tRNA from 1 species